UACAGAGGUCUCAAGCGUUGUUCGGAUUCAUUGGGCGUAAAGGGUGCGUAGGCGGCGCGGUAAGUCGGAUGUGAAAUCUCGGAGCUUAACUCCGAAACUGCAUUCGAUACUGCCGUGCUUGAGGACUGGAGAGGAGACUGGAAUUUACGGUGUAGCGGUGAAAUGCGUAGAUAUCGUAAGGAAGACCAGUGGCGAAGGCGGGUCUCUGGACAGUUCCUGACUCUGAGGCACGAAGGCCAGGAGAGCAAACGAG
rnacentral:rRNA from 1 species